CAACAAGACACUCGAGUUAGAAAAUUUUUUUUUCCCCUUCUAAUUAAUCAUGCAAUUUUUUGCACAAUUUCAUUUGUUGUUAAUUCACUGGGUUCAAACGGUUCAACAUUGGCAGAAAACUAUAUCGUCGUAAGGUAAAAUCGAUUGUCACACCUUAAGGAUAUUAGGAAUCGUCAGGUAUUCACGCCAGGAUCCUUGUCCUCCUCCAGUGGCACUCACUCCACGAUUUUCGAUAAUCACAUUGUUUUUGGAGAACUCGCGUGCUGGACAAAAUUG